GUCUACGGCCAUGCCACCCUGAACAAGCCCAGUCUUGUGUGAAGCUAAGCAGGGUUGGGCCUGGUUAGUACUUGGAUGGGAGACCAACUAGGAAUACCAGGUGCUGUAGGCU
rnacentral:rRNA from 1 species